UCAGCAGCUUUAUUCCCAUCGCAGCCUGUGCUCUCCCUGUCAUCAUGAAGGUUUCCUUCACCCUCUGCAUCCUCUUGGCUUUCAUAGAUGCAGGGAGCUCUCUUCAGUGUGAGGUUUGCCAUGAAAUAGGGGAGAGCUGUUCCGGCCCCAUGGAAACCUGCGAUACUGGCAAAGAAACCUGUGGCAUCAUGAAGCACGAAGCUGUACAAGAGUCAAAGAGGAUUGUGAUAACCCAAAAGUCCUGCCUGCACUCCAACAGUUGCCGAGCAGACCCCAUUAGUAUGAACUUUGGGAAUGGAAUAACACGAAGGAGCGGAAUCACCUGCUGUGUGGGAGAAGCCUGUAAAACAGCAUCUGACCCAUUGCCACCAAUGAACACCGUGCCCAAUGGCCUGCAGUGUCCAGCAUGCUACACUGAGAAUUCUUACCAGUGUAGUGAAGACACUGUGCAUUGUACCGGAGCCCAGACCCAGUGUUUUGAUAUAGCUGGGAAAAUAACCAUUGAUAAGAUAUAAGCCCUCCUGCUUCUGAGUCCAAGACAGCUACUACCUAAAUGGAGAUUAAGAAGAAACUUCCCCUCUGGACAGGUGACUGUUUAGGCAUACUACCCCUAAAAACCGCAAUGAAGGGCUGCACCACCGAGUCUGAGUGCACUGCUCCAAAAGGGGAGAAAGGGUUCGAUAUGGACAUUGUGAGGUUUGAGUGCAAACCAGCCUCCAGCAGAGGCCACAAGGCUCUUGGAUUUGCCCCUUGUGUCGCCCUCCUCCUUCCACCCCUGUCAAGGCUUAUCUUGGUGCAGCUGCUUUCUUGAUCUUUCCUGCAGGUCUUGGGACACAUGCCCACAGUUGCUGUGCUGAAGCCACUCUAUCUGCUGCUUGCACAUGGCACUUUCUGCAGUUGUUUUUCCCUUUCAGGGACAAUCUGUUUUCUACUGGAAUCUCUCUGCCUUAGCCUUUUGCAAUGAAGCCAAGAAAAAUCUUCUAGAUUUUUGAUUUAUUUAAGCUGGUGAAGUUUAAUUAUAUUGGGCAUCACGAUGGCUAGGCUGGGACCCAGCGAGACCCUGUGUAGAACCACUAGACCAGGGGUAGGCAACCUAUGGCACGCGUGUGGAAGGCGGCACACGCGCUGAUUUUCAGUGGCACUCACACUGCCCGGGUCCUGGCCACCGGUCCA